UACGUAGGGUGCGAGCGUUGUCCGGAAUUAUUGGGCGUAAAGAGCUCGUAGGUGGUUUGUCGCGUCUGCUGUGAAAACCCGAGGCUCAACCUCGGGCCUGCAGUGGGUACGGGCAGACUAGAGUGCGGUAGGGGAGAUUGGAAUUCCUGGUGUAGCGGUGGAAUGCGCAGAUAUCAGGAGGAACACCGAUGGCGAAGGCGGGUCUCUGGGCCGUAACUGACGCUGAGGAGCGAAAGCGUGGGGAGCAAACGGG
rnacentral:rRNA from 1 species